rnacentral:rRNA from 1 species
ACGCUGAAACACCGGUUCUCGUUCGAUCACGGGUAAGCAUCGUAGAGCCAGGUCAGUACUUAGACGGGGGACCGCUUGGGAACACCUGGUACUGUAAG